GUCCUUGCUGUAAACGAUGUAUACUUGAUGUAAUUGGGCUCAACCCUAAUUGUGUCGUAGCUAACGCGAUAAGUAUACCGCCUGAGGAGUACGCUCGCAAGGGUGAAACUCAAAAGAAUUGACGGGGGCCCCGCACAAGCAGUGGAGCAUGUGGUUUAAUUCGAUGCAACGCGAAGAACCUUACCCAGGUUUGACAUACAGAGGACGAUAGUAGAGAUAUUAUUUCCCGCAAGGGUCUUUGUACAGGUGCUGCAUGGCUGUCGU
rnacentral:rRNA from 1 species